UUACGGGCAUAUCACGUUGAAACACCGGUUCCCGUACGAUAAUCGAAGUUAAGCAACGUUGAUCCUGGUCAUUAUUUAGAUGGAUGACCGCUUGGAAAUACCGGGUGCUGUAAG